rnacentral:rRNA from 1 species
UACAUGGGGUGCAAACGUUGCUCGGAAUCAUUGGGCGUAAAGCGCGCGUAGGCGGUUACACAAGUUGGAUGUGAAAGCCCUCGGCUUAACUGAGGAAGUGCAUCCAAAACUGUGCAGCUAGAGUACUAAAGAGGGUCGCGGAAUUCCCGGUGUAGAGGUGAAAUUCGUAGAUAUCGGGAGGAACACCGGUGGCGAAGGCGGCGACCUGGGUAGAUACUGACGCUGAGGCGCGAAAGCGUGGGGAGCGAACAGG